rnacentral:rRNA from 1 species
UGGGGAAUAUUGCACAAUGGGCGAAAGCCUGAUGCAGCAACGCCGCGUGAGUGAUGAAGGUCUUCGGAUUGUAAAGCUCUGUCUUUUGGGACGAUAAUGACGGUACCAAAGGAGGAAGCCACGGCUAACUACGUGCCAGCAGCCGCGGUAAUACGUAGGUGGCGAGCGUUGUCCGGAUUUACUGGGCGUAAAGGGUGCGUAGGCGGAUGUUUAAGUGAGAUGUGAAAUACCCGGGCUUAACUUGGGUGCUGCAUUUCAAACUGGAUAUCUAGAGUGCAGGAGAGGAGAAUGGAAUUCCUAGUGUAGCGGUGAAAUGCGUAGAGAUUAGGAAGAACACCAGUGGCGAAGGCGAUUCUCUGGACUGUAACUGACGCUGAGGCACGAAAGCGUGGGUAGCAAACAGGAUUAGAUACCCUGGUAGUCCACGCCGUAAAACGAUGAGUACUAGGUGUAGGAGGUAUCGACCCCUUCUGUGCCGCAGUAAACACAUUAAGUACUCCGCCUGGGAAGUACGAUCGCAAGAUUAAAAAC